AACGAACGCUGGCGGCAGGCCUAACACAUGCAAGUCGAACGCCCGUAGCAAUACGGGAGUGGCAGACGGGUGAGUAACGCGUGGGAACGUGCCCUUCGGUUCGGAAUAACUCAGGGAAACUUGAGCUAAUACCGGAUACGUCCGUAAGGAGAAAGAUUUAUCGCCGAAGGAUCGGCCCGCGUCGGAUUAGCUAGUUGGUGAGGUAAUGGCUCACCAAGGCGACGAUCCGUAGCUGGUCUGAGAGGAUGAUCAGCCACACUGGGACUGAGACACGGCCCAGACUCCUACGGGAGGCAGCAGUGGGGAAUAUUGGACAAUGGGCGAAAGCCUGAUCCAGCCAUGCCGCGUGAGUGAAGAAGGCCUUAGGGUUGUAAAGCUCUUUCAGCGGGGAAGAUAAUGACGGUACCCGCAGAAGAAGCCCCGGCUAACUUCGUGCCAGCCGCCGCAGUAAU
rnacentral:rRNA from 1 species